UGACUUUCUGCUAACCAUUUCUGGCCCUCCCCCCUGGGGCCUUCACCUGUCAUGCUUCAGUUUCCCUGCUCCCACAUAAUGUACGUUUUGAACGGCUAGAUGUAUGACAGAAUGCUCAGGAUUCUAAUGAAAUCUUGCUUAAGACUAAAAGCCAAUCUGUGCAAAGAUAUAUAAUGGGUCUGCCUGAGGGCCUGAGGUCUGCUAAGCAAUUCUAAAGUAAUAUAAUCCAGAAGCCUAGAAGGCUUGAAGCUUGCUUCCUAAAGGAGGAGCUGAUCACAAGAUCAUGUGACAGCAUCACAUCAUAAAAGAAACAUUAACACUUUUGUCAGAAAUCUAUCCAGGGGGCGCCUGGGUGGCUCAGUGGGUUAAGCC